rnacentral:rRNA from 1 species
AUCAUGGCUCAGGAUGAACGCUAGCUACAGGCUUAACACAUGCAAGUCGAGGGGCAGCAUUUUUCUAGCAAUAGAAGAGAUGGCGACCGGCGCACGGGUGAGUAACACGUAUCCAACCUACCGAUAACUCCGGAAUAGCCUUUCGAAAGAAAGAUUAAUACCGGAUAGUAUACGAAUAUCGCAUGAUAUUUUUAUUAAAGAAUUUCGGUUAUCGAUGGGGAUGCGUUCCAUUAGUUUGUUGGCGGUACGG